UAACUGCAACAUCAACACAGAAAGAAGAUACAGAAACUGAAAACUCUUAUUCAGAUUCGAAGGCAAGAAAAACAAGGAUGAUGACAUCUUACAGCCAUGAACAUACACACCAUCACUUUAUCCAUCUUCCUAUUUACUCUUCCCUAUUUACAAAAUCUUCUACAUAGAUCACUCACUCACUCAUUCAUUCAUCCAUUCUCCAUAUACUACUAGUGGUAAAAGAUAAACAAAAAAAAAACAGAGUAAUGUAAAUGCAGAGAUUGCAGACCUCCUCAACUUCAGAAGAUUCAUUGAACUUUCAUUCUCUCUCUUUCUGUUGAUUCAUCAAGGAUUCAAAAUCAACAGAUCAAAAAACCAGUGUUGAUUUCAGAAUAUCAUUACAAUUUCACAGAAGCUUUCUUUCUCAAGUCAAAUCAGCCAUAGAUCUGGUUUCACCUCCACUUACAACCCAUGGAUGUCCUGUAAAAAACAUUCACAAAUCAAUAUUAAUAACCUAUACAGUAUACACAUCUGAAUCUGAAUAAUAUCUAUAUAGAAAUAUAAGAUUAAAAUUUAACAACUUACUGAGGACUUGUUCAGCAGAUAAUCUUCUAGAAACAUCUUUACACAGCAUUUUCCUCAACAGAUCUUUAACUUCCGGUGAAACAGAUUUGAAAAUUCUCGUCGGAAACCGCAAAUUUCCACGCAAAACCGCCUCAAAAGUCUCCGCCGGAGAGUCACCGUAAAACGGAGGAACUCCGGCCAACAUUAUGUACAAAAUCACGCCGGCACUCCACACAUCAACCUUCUCGUUGUACUCUCUACCGGACAAAACCUCCGGCGCCACAUAAUACGGUGUACCUACGAUUCCGGUCAUCAUUCCGGCAUCACUCAUCGCAAACCACUCCGCAGAUCCGAAAUCCGCAAGCUUCAAUUCGCCUCUAGAAUCAAACAAAACGUUAUCCGGCUUAAUAUCACGAUGCGCUAUACCUAACCGAUGACAAUAACUGAUCGCUAACAUCAACGGCGAGAAGAUCGAGGCCGCUUCGGUUUCGGAAAACACUCCGGAGCGGUUCGAGAUCCGGUCGAAGAGGUCCGGCGAGUCACAGAGGUCAAUAAUCAUAUGCAAAUAGUUAUCGUCUUCGUAUAACCGGUGGAUCUGGACAAUGUUAGGGUUUCCGCCGAGGAUGUGGAGGAUUUUAGGCUCUUUUUGGAGGCACUCGCGGUCGGUAUGAUCGGAGAGGAGGCGUUUGUCGAUGGAUUUGCAGGCGAAUGAGUCGCCCGAGACGGUGGAGUAGCAGCGGUAGACGACGCCGAAGCGGCCUCUGCCGAUCUCGCCGGUGGGUUUUAUAACAGAAAUAUGUGGGUUUAGAAAUAUGCGAAUAUUCGUAUUCGAGAAGUUGAAAAGGAUAUUUGGUGUGUGAUGGAAUCGGUUACUUGUACAUGUUGCAGUGGGUGUUGUACGUUGAAAUUGAAUGUUGUUGCUUUGGUUU
rnacentral:lncRNA from 1 species